GACUCCUGCUGGCUGGUCCACCCGGGGGCCAGGAGGGCCCUCCCGAGCACUGCCCCCAUGCCCCGCAGUCGCAGCUGGUCCCGCACAGAAAAGGAAACAGGUUUGAAGAAGCGAAGUCCCCCAUGAUCAUCAGCCAGGAGGCAGAGCCCACCUUCCAGAGCGUUCCUCAGGCCACGAACAGAGAAGGCAUAGAGCCAAGAUUUGACGGGCAGCUGCAGACUUCUGUCAGAGCACGACAUUUAGCCACUUCAUUUCCCAGGCGGCUUCUGUCAUCAACUGGGCCAUCACAGGGAUGCUGCCACACGCGGCUGCAGGAGCAGGGGUGAGAAUCACAAGGACCUGCGUUUCUAAAGGCCAGCCCCGCCCCCGCUCCAGGAGCUCCCAGGAAGUCUGCACCGCCACCGCCGGCUCCUGAGCGUCCUUCAAAGCUGCACAGCCUUCCUGGGGCCAGCAAGCAGGGCCUGCCUGUCUGUGAACUGGGGACAGAGGGACAGUCUGAAUUCCAGCACCAGUUCUAACAGCUCCAUCCAGCUUCACCACCAACAUUCCCCUACGCAGUGGGAGUGCACCUGACAAUGCCAGGAAGCCGCUGCUGCCCACAGGCCGGGACGUGCCCAUGACUCUGUCGCUGCCCCUGUCACUCUUGCUGCCUUCUAAGAAAUGUUCCCUCAGACAAUGUGCCUUUCUGGCUACUGAUAUUGGAGCUCUGGCCCAGAUGCCCACCAGGAAGGUGCUACCAGCCAAGAGGCAGGGGCAGAGGGCACUGGCACCCCUUGUGCUAUUUCAUUGACUCUGAUCCCACAGAAGCCAGCUACCCGCCUUGAGGGUAGGGACUCAGACUGCCUUGUUGGGGCCUCACAGGGCCUACCACACAGGAGGUGAUCAACAAACACAUACUUUUAAUAAA